GCGGCUGCGGGAAACACAACUCGCCGGAGAGGAAAGUUUAUAUGGACUAUAAUGCAACGACUCCCCUGGAGCCAGAAGUUAUCCAGGCCAUGACCGAGGCCAUGUGGGAAGCCUGGGGAAAUCCCAGCAGCCCGUAUUCAGCAGGUAAUUCUAGAAGAUGCACGUGUUCACUGAUGGGAGAUAAUGGGGAUGGGGCGCUCUUAGAGAAAUUGCACACCCACACGUUGACGGCUUUGUUUUGAAUAGGUUUCUGUUAGCUGCAAUUCUUUAGCUGUAAUUUUUGAUAGUUUCUUUUCUGGGAAGUCCCCAUUUGUAAGCUGAGCCUUGUCGAUACUGUAAUCUUUAACCUUUAAUGUUUAAUCUUUAACAUGCUGUCCUGUCACCCUUUCCCAGAUAAGAAAGGUGUCUACUGAGAGUUCCUUGAAGUAGCAGUCAGUACCUGUGGAGCACUUCACAGAUCUAGCUCAGUCAAUCCUUACAGAAUUUGCAAAAUAGGUCUUUUAGGUCAUCAGGAUAACAUAUAAUCCUGGCCCUUUUUAAAGAUGAAAAUUACUUUUUCAUUAAUUACUUUAGUUAUGAAUAUUCUUGUUUCCAAUUUAUUCUUAUUGUAAUGUAGAGCAUUAAAUUGGAGGUUUUGGAGAAGAAUUUGCUUCAAGUCAGUUAUAUGACAGAGUUACAUUCUGCUUUUCAGACAGAUGAGCAAGCUAAAGUCUUACCUUUCUUAUUUCAUGUUUAUGAGAGAUAAUUAAGAUAAACUGUGUUAACUG
rnacentral:sRNA from 1 species